rnacentral:tRNA from 1 species
UGACCUAUGGUGUAAUGGUAGCACAACAGUCUCUGGAUCUGUUUGUCUAGGUUCGAGUCCUGGUAGGUCAA